UGCAACCUUCACAGACUGACAGAGAUUGAGUGAUAACAGACACUGGAGACCCUCCAAGCGAUGGCUGGUGACCGCCUGCCACCAUCCACAGGCUGUCACACAAGGAGCCCUGGGAGUAACCUUGCUGGAAGCCCCGCGGGCCGCAGUGUGUGGCUGGCGUUAUACAGCCCCCAGCCAUCGCCUGGAGGGCAUCCAGUGUCUGUUAUCACUCACCUUAGGUAGUCUGUGAAGGUCCAGUCAUCACUGGUGCACGUGUAUCUUACCUGUGAUCAACACCGGCAGCCACAGACUCCUGCCCAAGGAACGAACACAGUGAUCGUGAUGACAUUGACAACAACGAGCAAGUCCUCCUAGACCUAGAGUGACCUCAAGCUGGGCCAAACAUGAUGUGGAAGAAGAAAUCAGUUGUCUCCAUCAGUCGGGUUUGUGCCAUGGCAGCUUUCUCCAGCUGUCCGGCAGAGGUCCAGUCCAUGCCAUGGAGAAAUUCAGCCCCCAACAAUGAGAUGGCAUGCCAGAGAUGGAUCCGCAGCUUCUCCUCCAAUCAGUCAAUCCUUGCAAUGCCCUUUCUCUUGUCUCUCCCUCCAUACCACCAUGCUUACACAUAACUGAUCCAAGGUACUUAAACUCGUUAACCUCCUCCAUUUCUUCACCAUUCAAAAUUAUUUGGCAUUCUUUUUCACAUUCAAUGCCCACUCUAUAUGGGCAUACAAACUCUACAACCUCCCUUCUACUCCGCUCACAAACCAUCACUUUACUUUUGUUGACAUUUACUUUCAACUUUCUCCUUUUACAUACACUAUCAAAGACACUGACCAAAUUUUGUAAGUCACUUUCAUU